rnacentral:rRNA from 1 species
UACAGAGGUGGCAAGCGUUGUUCGGAAUUACUGGGCGUAAAGGGCGCGUAGGCGGCCUUCUCAGUCGGACGUGAAAUCCCCGGGCUUAACUCGGGAACUGCGUCCGAUACUGGAAGGCUGGAGUUCGGGAGAGGGAUGUGGAAUUCCCGGUGUAGCGGUGGAAUGCGUAGAGAUCAAGAGGAACACUCGUGGCGAAAGCGAGCUACUGGACAAUUCCUGACGCUGAGGCUCGAAGGCUAGGGUAGCGAAAGGG